rnacentral:misc_RNA from 1 species
AACGCACGAGACCUGCGGACCUGCGGAAGGAUCAUUAAAGAAACUAGGGGAUGUGCUGGCUUUCCGCAUGUGCACUCCUCAACUCUCAUCCUAUCCACCUGUGCACACCCUGUAGGCAGAGAUGAGGAAUUAUCACUGCCUAUGCUUUUUAUAUACACCAAGUCAAGUUGAAGCAUGUGAAAUAUAUUAUACAACUUUCAGCAACGGAUCUCU